UACUAAGCUUCAGCUACACACGACCGUACCGCAAACCGACACUGGUGCGCGAGAUGAGUAUUCUAAGGCGCUUGAGAGAACUCAGGAGAAGGAACUCGGCAAAUUGACACCGUAACUUCGGAAGAAGGUGUACCCUAUUAAUGUGAAGUGAACAACGGAGCAUGAACGGGUUGCAAAAAAUCGGUGGCUGCGACUGUUUAUUAAAAACACAGCACUCUGCAAACACGAAAGUGGACGUAUAGGGUGUGACGCCUGCCCGGUGCUGGAAGAUUAAAUGAUGGGGUGCAAGCUCUUGAUUGAAGUCCCAGUAAACGGCGGCCGUAACGAUAACGGUCCUAAGGUAGCGAAAUUCCUUGUCGGGUAAGUUCCGACCUGCACGAAUGGCGUAACGAUGGCCACACUGUCUCCUCCUGAGACUCAGCGAAGUUGAAAUGUUUGUGAUGAUGCAAUCUCCCCGCGGAAAGACGGAAAGACCCCAUGAACCUUUACUGUAGCUUUGUAUUGGACUUUGAACAGAUCUGUGUAGGAUAGGUGGGAGGCUUUGAAGUGCGGUCGCUAGAUCGCAUGGAGCCAACGUUGAAAUACCACCCUGGUGUGUUUGAGGUUCUAACCUAGGUCCAUCAUCUGGAUCGGGGACAGUGCAUGGUAGGCAGUUUGACUGGGGCGGUCUCCUCCCAAAGCGUAACGGAGGAGUUCGAAGGUACGCUAGUUACGGUCGGACAUCGUGACGAUAGUGCAAUGGCAUAAGCGUGCUUAACUGCGAGACUGACAAGUCGAGCAGGUGCGAAAGCAGGACAUAGUGAUCCGGUGGUUCUGUAUGGAAGGGCCAUCGCUCAACGGAUAAAAGGUACUCUGGGGAUAACAGGCUGAUACCGCCCAAGAGUUCAUAUCGACGGCGGUGUUUGGCACCUCGAUGUCGGCUCAUCUCAUCCUGGGGCUGUAGCCGGUCCCAAGGGUAUGGCUGUUCGCCAUUUAAAGAGGUACGUGAGCUGGGUUUAAAACGUCGUGAGACAGUUUGGUCCCUAUCUUCCGUGGGCGCUGCAGAUUUGAGAAAGCCUGCUCCUAGUACGAGAGGACCGGAUUGGACACACCUCUGGUGUAUCGGUUGUCACGCCAGUGGCAUUGCCGAGUAGCUAAGUGUGGAAGAGAUAACCGCUGAAAGCAUCUAAGCGGGAAACUCGUUUCAAGAUGAGAUCUGCCGGGGCCUCGAGCCCCCUGAAGAGUCGUUCUAGACUAGGACGUUGAUAGGUCGGGUGUGGAAGCGCAGUAAUGCGUUAAGCUAACCGAUACUAAUUGCUCGUGCGGCUUGACCCG
rnacentral:rRNA from 1 species